UACGUAGGGUGCUAGCGUUGUUCGGAAUCAUUGGGCGUAAAGCGCGUGUAGGUGGUUAUCUAAGUCGAGUGUGAAAUCCCCAGGCUCAACCUGGGAAGUGCAUUCGAAACUAGAUGGCUAGAAGACGGUAGAGGAAGGUAGAAUUCCUAGUGUAGAGGUGAAAUUCGUAGAUAUUAGGAGGAACACCGGUGGCGAAGGCGGCCUUCUGGACCGUUCUUGACACUGAGACGCGAAAGCGUGGGGAGCAAACAGG
rnacentral:rRNA from 1 species